CAGUCGUACUUGCGGAUAAUCAGCCUUUAGAUGCGAUUUUGUGGAGCGUCAAGAGUUAAACGCCUUCAUGCCUGCAUAUUCGUGCACUUUGGGUGUACUUGCCCGUGUGUAAGUUAACAUCAAUUUUGGUCGUCAUAAAAUGAUUGGAGGAAUGUAGCUUUGAUCUCGUAUCGAAGUGUUAUAGACUCUGGUAGAUGGUGACGAGUUGGGGAUUGGAGGUAUUGCAACGGAUACCCUUCGGGGCUACCCGUCUGAUCUCUG
rnacentral:rRNA from 1 species